rnacentral:rRNA from 1 species
CGCGCAGGCGGUCCGGUCAGUCGGAAGUGAAAUCCAUCGGCUCAACCGAUGAAUGGCUUCCGAUACCGCCAGACUUGAGUACGGGAGAGGAAAGCGGAAUUCCCAGUGUAGAGGUGAAAUUCGUAGAUAUUGGGAAGAACACCGGUGGCGAAGGCGGCUUUCUGGACCGAUACUGACGCUGAGGCGCGAAAGCGUGGGGAGCAAACA